rnacentral:lncRNA from 1 species
CUGGAUGUGACUGAGCUCCACCUUCUUUUUUGAGAAAAUCAUUUGGAAAAUGACACAGUCUGAAGAAUAAUGGGAAUUCAAAAUCUGCGUCCAGAUUUCCUCGUGAACCAGUCUGCUGCUCUGCAUCUGCAGAAGGGGACAGAAUUAAGAACUAGAGUUGCAAGUGGAGCACUUGUGAUUCCUGCCUUCUACACACUGAGUAUUUUUGCAGCAGUGUAUCUGCAGUACUCAAGGAAUCUCCUUGAGUAGAAAGAGAGUGGCAGUUCACUUUAUUUAGCAGG